UCCCUCCGAAGAGAUCAUCGCCCUCUCACCUUGCUGUCCCCACUGCCAAGCUUGUCCUUCAUCAUCAUCGCACGCUCUCUCUGUCUUCACUCCCACCGAUCGAGCUUCCUCCUUCAUAGCCUCAUAGUGUCUUCCUCAUCUUCCCUUCUCUGGAGAGAGGCAUCUUCUAUCGUCGCUAUUUAGAUUCAUGAUGAGCACUUGAGCUUCAAGAAAUUGGAGAAUGCAUGUAUAAUAGAUAUGAAAAAGUAUAAUGACAUUUGAGGAAUUAACCCACUGAACUAAUAGAAGGACGAAACUGGGAAAGUAUGAAAGAAGUAUUAGCCAUGAUGGAUGAAACUAAUCAAGUUUGGUGCUGGAGUGGAUUUGGAAGGUGUAGAAACAAGUGGUCAAUUUGUAGGUUAUAGUUAAGCAUGCUUGCAAACGACAUGUUAAGCUAUCCUUUGUUGUCCAUGAAGUUUUUAUUUCUUUUUAUGUGAGUUAUGAAUAUGUCAUUCUUUUAUAUUCUGUUCUUCUCGGCCAAACCAUGCAAGUAUCUUUUGUCAUAAUGUUUUAUCAGAAAACAUAAAUAUAAUCUAUAGCUGUUACAAUGUUAUAGGAUA